GGCGAGACCAGCCGUUUAUCAUUACGAUAGGUGUCAAGUGGAAGUGCAGCGAUGUAUGCAGCUGAGGCAUCCUAACAGACCGAGAGAUUUGAAC
rnacentral:rRNA from 10 species